rnacentral:rRNA from 1 species
UACGAAGGGGGCUAGCGUUGCUCGGAAUCACUGGGCGUAAAGGGUGCGUAGGCGGGUUUUUAAGUCAGGGGUGAAAUCCUGGAGCUCAACUCCAGAACUGCCUUUGAUACUGAAGAUCUUGAGUCCGGGAGAGGUGAGUGGAACUGCGAGUGUAGAGGUGAAAUUCGUAGAUAUUCGCAAGAACACCAGUAGCGAAGGCGGCUCACUGGCCCGGUACUGACGCUGAGGCACGAAAGCGUGGGGAGCAAACAGG